UACGGGGGGGGCAAGCGUUGUUCGGAAUUACUGGGCGUAAAGGGCGCGUAGGCGGCCUGCUAAGUCGGAUGUGAAAUCCCUCGGCUCAACCCGAGGAACUGCAUCCGAUACUGGCGGGCUUGAAUCCGGGAGAGGGAUGUGGAAUUCCUGGUGUAGCGGUGGAAUGCGCGAUAUCGAGGAGAACGAGCCGGUAGGCGAAGGCGGUCGUCGUAGGUCG
rnacentral:rRNA from 1 species